rnacentral:rRNA from 1 species
AGUGAACGCUGGCGGUAGGCCUAACACAUGCAAGUCGAAUGGCAGCACAGUAAGAGCUUGCUCUUACGGGUGGCGAGUGGCGGACGGGUGAGGAAUACAUCGGAAUCUACUUUUUCGUGGGGGAUAACGUAGGGAAACUUACGCUAAUACCGCAUACGACCUACGGGUGAAAGCAGGGGAUCUUCGGACCUUGCGCGAUUGAAUGAGCCGAUGUCGGAUUAGCUAGUUGGCGGGGUAAAGGCCCACCAAGGCGACGAUCCGUAGCUGGUCUGAGAGGAUGAUCAGCCACACUGGAACUGAGACACGGUCCAGACUCCUACGGGAGGCAGCAGUGGGGAAUAUUGGACAAUGGGCGCAAGCCUGAUCCAGCCAUACCGCGUGGGUGAAGAAGGCCUUCGGGUUGUAAAGCCCUUUUGUUGGGAAAGAAAAGCAGCAGGUUAAUACCCCGCUGUUCUGACGGUACCCAAAGAAUAAACACCGGCUAACUUCGU